rnacentral:rRNA from 1 species
UACGUAGGGUGCGAGCGUUGUCCGGAAUUACUGGGCGUAAAGAGCUCGUAGGUGGUUUGUCGCGUUGUUCGUGAAACUCACAGCUUAACUGUGGGCGUGCGGGCGAUACGGGCAGACUGGAGUACUGCAGGGGAGACUGGAAUUCCUGGUGUAGCGGUGGAAUGCGCAGAUAUCAGGAGGAACACCGAUGGCGAAGGCAGGUCUCUGGGCAUUAACUGACGCUGAGGAGCGAAAGCAUGGGGAGCGAACAGG